GCCCGGCUAACUUAGUCGGUAGAGCAUGAGACUCUUAAUUUCAGGGUUCUGGGUUCAAGCCCCACAUUGGGCG
rnacentral:tRNA from 1 species